UACGAAGGGGGCUAGCGUUGCUCGGAAUCACUGGGCGUAAAGGGUGCGUAGGCGGGUCUUUAAGUCAGGGGUGAAAUCCUGGAGCUCAACUCCAGAACUGCCUUUGAUACUGAAGAUCUUGAGUUCGGGAGAGGUGAGUGGAACUGCGAGUGUAGAGGUGAAAUGCGUAGAGAUCGGCAGGAACACCCGUGGUGAAAACGGCCACCUAGCCCAUACCUGACGCUGAGACACGAAAGCCAGGGGAGCGAACGGGG
rnacentral:rRNA from 1 species